GUUAUUAAACAUUGUUUUACCCAGGAAACUGUAGUCACAGUUGUCAAGUCGUUAACUGAGACUCUAUUCAUUCACAACCUACAGAGAGAUUUUGAAUCGUUGCGGCAAACCGUGUCUGGUGAAGUGGGCGUCACCAAGAGCGCUCAAGAGAAAGUCUGUGUGUGGACCUGUGACUCUACAUGAAUGACUCAAGUGAAGAAACACGCGUGAAACCACUAUUUCAAAGGAAAAAGAAGAGGAAGAAGGGACAUCUUGAGCAUUCGCAGUGGAACUUGAGUGCGCAUCUGCGCAAAGUCUCUCCAAAGUCACUUGGAAACUUUUGCGCACCAGUGCAGCUCCAUUCUCAAGCAGUUUUGGGUCACAGCGAGGAGAGACUGUCGUCCAGCAGAAUGGCGUCAGACGUGGGCCGCAGCACUUGAGGUCAGCCGCUCACUCAGCGCACUGUGUUUAUUCUGCCUUCAGGUCCUCCUGGGAAGUUCCUACUUAAGAGUUCGGAAGUCGUAAUUAUGAUGUGAAGUGAUUUUGCUUGAAAUAAUACGGAUGAGUUGAGUAUAUUUAUGUGUCUUUAACCCAGCUAACAGGGAAGGUUCUCAGAACUUGUUUGGAAUGUUAAUACAGUGUUUAUUCAAAGUUCAUGAGAUGAACACUCAUCUAAUGUGUUUUUUUUUUAUGUUAUUGUUUUGGAAUGUUCAGAGAACAUUCAAAAGUAACAUUCCCAUAAUGUUUGCAAAAUUAUUAAAUGGAAUGUUUGCGUAACCAAAAACAAAACGUUUGUAAGAAAUUUGAUAUUUAGAAUGUUCACGCAAAAGUCAGAAGUAAUAUUUUCAUAACUUAAUGCAUGGUAACUUGAAACGUUCUUAGACCAUUUUUGUUAGCUGGGAACCUUAUAAUGCUUUUUUAGCCUCAAUGUAAGAAAAUGAAGAAGGAAUGAUGCACAUUAUGUGCAAUUUAAGAUUAACUGUAAGAAAACAUUAUUAUUUAAUCAUUCGUGUGCAACCACACAUGACUGAAAAUGUAUUUUUCACAAAAUGUUUACAAACUAGUUUUACAUUAUAUCAACAUUCACACCCUCGGUUCCACAAGUAUUUUUCUCAUUCAUUAUCUAUUUAUAAUUCUAUUAUCCAUGAUCUAUUCUAAUCUUGAAAACAUUUGAGUUUUAAACUAUAAAGGACAACCAGAUAUAAAUAAAUAUUUCAGAUUUAUUUUUAGUGCAUUUGUUUUGAUAGCUUCAGUCUCUUUCCUAAUCUAUCUUUGUAAAAAAAAAAAAAAAAAUUGAGAGUGGGCUUUUAUUACAUGAAAUUUGCCUUGACGUCAUUAACUUAGACAGAAGGACGUCUCAUGUAGAUGAUUAUAUGUUAUACAGCACUCAUGUAGAUCUGUCUUGAAAGGUUUAUACAGUAAUGCUAUAACUCUAUUGAGAAGAUGAAUGGGAUUGUACUUCUGGAACCAAACUGCUUCUGCUGUCAUUUUAUCAUUGACUCUAACCCAACGCAAAGAGUCUCUUUAAUAAUCAGGCCAUCAUGGUGUAUAUGACUCUGACAUGACUUGAAGGCAGCAUGCUUUGUUUAUUUUCAAGCUAAGCUACUGUGGACUUACAGUACUGUGGACUGUGGACUGUAAAGACAAAAAACUGAGCGAACUAUCUGAAGGAUUGUUAAGGAGCCGAUGCAGAGCCAUGUAACACGAACACUUAUCACUCGCAAUAAAUGUUUCCCUGAAAAACCC